rnacentral:rRNA from 1 species
GAUGAACGCUGGCGGCGUGCUUAACACAUGCAAGUCGAACGGUGAAGGCGGAGCUUGCUCUGCUGGAUCAGUGGCGAACGGGUGAGUAACACGUGAGCAAUCUGCCCCUGACUCUGGGAUAAGCGCUGGAAACGGCGUCUAAUACUGGAUACGAGCUGCGAAGGCAUCUUCAGCAGCUGGAAAGAACUUCGGUCAGGGAUGAGCUCGCGGCCUAUCAGCUUGUUGGUGAGGUAACGGCUCACCAAGGCGUCGACGGGUAGCCGGCCUGAGAGGGUGACCGGCCACACGGGGCCUGAGACACGGCCCAGACGCCUACGGGAGGCAGCAGUGGGGAAUAUUGCACAAUGGGCGAAAGCCUGAUGCAGCAACGCCGCGUGAGGGACGACGGCCUUCGGGUUGUAAACCUCUUUUAGCAGGGAAGAAGCGAAAGUGACGGUACCGUCAGAAAAAGCGCCGGCUAACUACGUG